UAGGCCCUGGAAGGAGUGGGUAGCCGGCGAAAGGACAAAGGUAGCAACAACCUGGGAAAAGCUGAAGCUCCAGGGAGGAUGGGCGAGCGCAGCUCCGUGACAGACACCUGCUGCGGGGCCAGGAAUCUUUGAGGGAGCAGGUGGUGCUGAGUCAAGUGAUGGUGCGGAGCUUGCUAAGGCUGAAGAUUCAGAGAGCAGCAGCCGCCAAGGACGCAGGUCUCCUUAUCCAGCAAUUAAAAUCGCUUCAAGUGGGUUAGGUAGCAGAGCCCUGCCGUGGCUGGCGAUGGAUCUUCAGAAUUCUAGUUUCCACCAAUCCAGGACAACAAACCGACUGCUGUACGGUGUGGCAAUAAACGAGUUACACAGAGCGAAUACUCAGACUGCGUCACUGAAUUCUCCACUAACAGGCAGCCGACCUGUAGAGCCCCAACACCUGCAGCCGCUCAGCCGAGGGGUGGCAGUGCCUUGCUGCCUCACUGGGUGCCUGGAGAAUGAGUGCAUGUUGUCAAAGCCUAGAAUGGAAGGUUCUCGAGGGAUCCAAGACACUUCUAUCCUUAUUCUCUCUCUAAUCUGGUGUAAUUUCAGCAUUGCUCUAAGGGUGCCCCAGCUUCCUCUUGGCCAUGAACUGGCAUAAUCCAGGUAUUAACAUGAUGGACUAUAUUGGCAGAAGUCGGACACACUCUGAUACCCACCAGUUGUCUCUUCUCCCGUUACCAGGAUUUAUUCCAAUGGAACAGGAAGCCGGAGGGAGAGAUAAAUUAGAAUUAUUUUUAAUAAAAUGGAGAUCA